rnacentral:lncRNA from 1 species
ACGGCUCCCCUAAACCGUUCCUCGGAGCCUCUCCCUCCCCAACUAGCUGCAGGCGGCCAGGUCUCGGGUGGGGAGCGGCCCCGACCUCGCCCCCCUCCCGGGUGAGUGGCGCCACCUUGGGCCGGCGCGCCCCGGAGCCAGGAGAACGGAGCGGGUGCACGGCGCGGCGCUGGGGGUUAUCAAUCUCUCGGAUCGAUAAGUUGCCACUUGGAGAGGGGAGGGCUACGUCCCCUCGGAGACGAGUUACCCAGGGCAACCUUUCACGGAAAAACCCGCUGCCCGCCGAGAACAGCGCCGGGGCCGGCCGGGCCGCGGCGCCCGCCCCACGCAGGGUGCCCGCGCCCCGCCGCUCCCCAGCCUGCCGGCCAGCCGGGCCCGGCCCCGCUCAGCUCUCUCCGCGGUCCCGCCGGGCCCUGCUCGCCAACCCCGUGCUGGGCUGAUUGCCGAGGUAGAUGCCACCCACGCACCCCCGCGGCUGGGGAGCGCGAGCUGGAGGAUGCGGAGAGGCCUGAGGCAGGGGGGCCAGGCGCGCGCGCCCUAGGCAGUCUCAGAGGUAGAGUCGGGUGACGGGCUAAACGCGACGCCUAGCUGGACACCCUGACAGCGGCAGCGGGCGAGCGAGGCUCCCCAGAGGGGCGGAGGCCAGGACCGAGACGUCCCCUAACUAGACCUAAGCCUUGAGGGCCGCCCCUCCCCAGGGGCCUGCUGAAGACUGAGGACGGAGGUGGGGGCAACAGGAUGGGGAGCCCGCAAUAGCCCAUCCUGACCUAAUCCGAAAGGACGAGAUCCUGGAGCCGCUCACAAAGUUUUCCGGGCCCCCUCCCACGCGUCGCCUGCACGUAUGUCCGUUUCCCGACGCUCCGCCCUCCCCCGCCAAGUUCGGCGUCUCCCAGCUCAGCGGCAGUCAGGGUGCAGAGGGAGCCCGACCUUGUCCCCGCCUCGGCCCGUCCCGCUUCUUCUGAAGCUUGUUUCAUUUUUAACUCCUUCCAGAAAAAUGUUGUUUUAAGGAAAAUCUCAAAGGAACAAAAAGCCAAUAGUGCCUUCCUUAUUUGCAAUCCCCACCCACCUCUGAGCUCGGACUGCAAGGGCCUCAAGGGACACCAGGUGACACCUGGGCCUUGCUUCUCACGGGUGACCUUGGACCAGAAAGGGUCAUUUUCAGGUGUGUUUUAUACCCCCCACCUGCCUACUUCUGGCAGGGAAUAGGGGGUCCAGUCCCCUCCCCUAUGAGAAGGGGCCCCUCUGGGCUCUCCUUCUUCGCCGGAAAGUGAACAGCUGCUCCUGCCCUGCUUGGAGGAGUGGCUGUGGAAACCCACUGUAAGCUGUAAGGAGCAGGAGCCACCAUCAUAAAUGCAAGAGAAAUUCCAAGUUGAGGUUUUUGAGAACAAGUAAGACUUUGCCCACAAAAAGGUGCAUCUUCCUUCAAAGUCAUAACUUGGCUGGAAGAGGGGAAACCUCUUGCCCAAGGCGGUGCCUUCCCCAACCAUGCUCCUUAAGAAUGUUUUUCCUACAUGUGCAGCAACUGAGGCUUCUUCCUUGAAUUUUCAAGAGGCAGGCGUCAUUUUGAGCAGUCUGGUGAAUGCACGAGGGUCUGGUGGGCUACAAAAACAAGAUAGGACAAUAAAGAAAACAAGGCAGUGUUCACUUUGUGGCCUCAGACCUAUGAUCCCUGCAGAGCUCCCAGAGUUGCUCAAGGGAUGCUUUCCAGUAAGUGACCAAAUGCCCACCUUGGCCAGGUGCCGUGGCUCACACCUGUAAUCCCAGCGCUUUGGGAAGAUGAAACGGAUGGAUCACCUGCUAGGGAGGCCCUGGCUUAUGCCUGUCAUCCCAGCACUUUGGGAGGCUGAGAUGGGUGGAUCAUCUGAGGUCAUGAGUUCGAGACCAGCCCCAGCAACAUGUUGAAACCCUGUCUCUACUAAAAAUACAAAAAUUAUCUGGGCAUGGUGGCACGUGCCUUGGUGGCAUAUACCUGUAGUCCCAGCUACUCGAGAGACUGAGGCAUGACAAUCACUUGAACCUGGGAGGCCGAGGUUGCAGUGAGCUGAGAUCAUGCCACUGCACUCCAGCCUGGGUGACAAAGUAAGACUCCAUCUCAAAAAAAAAAAAAAAGAAAAGAAAAAGAAAAAACAAAUGCCCACCUUUUCCCCUUCCAGGCACACACACAUCACUUACUUUAAAUGACAACAGUCACUUGAAUAUAUACGAUCUGGAAUGAGUGGUUUUUGUUUACUGCUUUAUUACUUGAAACUCCCAGUCCCUACUGUGGAGAAUUUGCAUCAGCCUAUGAGGAGCAGUCAUUUUGGGGAGGGAUGAUUUAUCCCUUCAGCUUUUCCCCAGAGAAUAAGUUCACUGCUUUGUUCCUGUGUUUAUUCAACAUUUAUUUAUGAUUUUGCACUUACUGUGUGCCAAGACUGAGGGUAAAACAAUGAAUGAGAAAGAUCGCAGUUCCUCCCUGUUGGGGCUUGCCCUCUAGUUGUAGGGGGUAAGGGGGGUGGCUGACUUAAUAAAUGGCCACGCAAGGCCAGUCGCGGUGGCACACAUCUGUAAUCUCAGCACUUUGGGAGGCUGAGAUGGGUGGAUCACUUGAGGUCUGGAGUUCGAGACCAGCCUGGCCAACAUGGUGAAAGUCUCUACUAAAAAUACAAAAAUUAGCUGGGCGUGGUGGUGGGUGUCUGUAAUCCCAGCUACUCAGGAGACUGAGGCAUGAGAAUUGCUUGAGCCCAGGAGGCAGAGGUUGCAGUGAGCCAGGAUCACGCCACUGCACUCCAGCCUGGGCAACAGAGUGAGACUCUGUCUCAAAUAAAUAAAUAAAUAGCCACAAAAAUAAUUAUUUACUUAUAGUUUUGAUCAAUCCUGAGAAGAAAUUAAAAUAUAGUACAAAGAGGCCACAAAACAGAGUCUCAAAGGUGGUCUGCUGAGAGCCCUAUGGAGGAGGAGGAAGGAGCCAAGCGGGGGGAUGGAGAAUAGAGUUCCCAGCUGUGAACAGUGUGUGCAAAGGGCCUGGGGCACAAAGGAGCUGGAGGCUUCUCAGCGAGAGUUGUCACAGCUCAGGCAAAGGCCACCAUGGCCAGGCUUAGGAGCCAAUUCCAUCCAUUUUCCAGUCCAGCUUCCCUCACCACCUAGCUGAAGAACCCGGAGCAAGGGAGCCCGUGUUCCAGUUUUGCAUCUGCAAAAUGAGAAAACGGAUAGCACGGAUCUCAUAGGGUGGUCCUGAGGGUUUCUCAUCUGUCCAUGCUGCCUGUCUGGCCACAAGACAGCAGUCAUCUGGCCUUCGCUGUCCUCCCUUACCUUUUCUCUCUCACCUUCACCACCUCCGAGGUCAAUCAUGUUCAUAGAGAUGCCAGUUACACAACUGCAGAUCCCCUCCUUGCACCAAUAAGUUCC